rnacentral:rRNA from 1 species
UGAGGAAUAUUGGACAAUGGGCGAAAGCCUGAUCCAGCGACGCCGCGUGAGUGACGAAGGCCUUCGGGUCGUAAAGCUCUGUCAGAAGGGAAGAACGGCUUUAUGGUUAACAGCCAUAGAGAUUGACGGUACCUUCAGAGGAAGCACCGGCUAACUCCGUGCCAGCAGCCGCGGUAAUACGGAGGGUGCAAGCGUUAAUCGGAAUCACUGGGCGUAAAGGGCGCGUAGGCGGUUAUGCAAGUCAGAUGUGAAAGCCCACGGCUCAACCGUGGAAGUGCAUCUGAAACUGCAUGACUUGAGUACUGGAGGGGAAAGUGGAAUUCCCGGUGUAGAGGUGAAAUUCGUAGAGAUCGGGAGGAAUACCGGUGGCGAAGGCGACUUUCUGGACAGAUACUGACGCUGAGGCGCGAAAGCAUGGGGAGCAAACAGGAUUAGAUACCCUGGUAGUCCAUAGCUGUAAACGAUGUGCACUAGAUGUAAGGGG